CUGCAACUCGCCUGCACGAAGUCGGAAUUGCUAGUAAUCGUAGGUCAGCAUACUACGGUGAAUACGUUCCCGGGCCUUGUACACACCGCCGUCAAACCAUGAGAGUUGGCAACACCCGAAGUCGGUAGUCUAACCGCAAGGAGGACGCCGCCGAAGGUGGGGUUGAUGAUUAGGGUUAAGUCGUAACAAGGUAUC
rnacentral:rRNA from 1 species